rnacentral:rRNA from 1 species
AGGACGAACGCUGGCGGCGUGCUUAACACAUGCAAGUGGAGCGACGAACCAGGGCUUGCCCUGGGGCAGAGCCGCGAACGGGUGAGUAACACGUGGGUUACCUGCCUCGAUGACCGGGACAACCCGAGGAAACUCGGGCUAAUACCGGAUGUGCCCGCAAGGGGAAAGGAAGCUUCGGCCUCCGCAUUGAGAUGGGCCCGCGGCCCAUUAGCUUGUUGGUGAGGUAACGGCUCACCAAGGCUUCGAUGGGUAGCUGGUCUGAGAGGACGAUCAGCCACACUGGGACUGAGACACGGCCCAGACUCCUACGGGAGGCAGCAGUUGGGAAUCUUGGACAAUGGGGGAAACCCUGAUCCAGCCAUGCCGCGUGAGUGAUGAAGGCCUUCGGUUGUAAACUCUUUCGCGCACGACGAUAAUGACGGUAGUGCGAGAAGAAGCUCCGGCUAACUUCGUGCCAGCAGCCGC